rnacentral:rRNA from 1 species
CAAGUGGCGGACGGGUGAGUAACACGUAAGAAUUUGCCUUUAGGAGGGGGAUAACAAUUGGAAACGGUUGCUAAUACCCCAUAUGCUUUCGAGUGAAAUGGAUUUUUCCGCCUAAAGAGAAGCUUGCGGCUGAUUAGCUUGUUGGUAAGGUAAUGGCUUACCAAGGCGACGAUCAGUAUCUGGUUUGAGAGGAUGAUCAGACACACUGGAACUGAGACACGGUCCAGACUCCUACGGGAGGCAGCAGUGGGGAAUUUUCCGCAAUGGGCGAAAGCCUGACGGAGCAAUCUCGCGUGAGGGAUGACGGCCUAUGGGUUGUAAACCUCUUUUUUCAGGGAGGAAUCAAUGACGUGUACCUGAAGAAUAAGCAUCGGCUAACUCCGUGCCAGCAGCCGCGGUAAGACGGAGGAUGCAAGUGUUAUCCGGAAUCACUGGGCGUAAAGCGUCUGUAGGUGGUCAAAUAAGUCAACUGUUAAAUCUUGAGGCUCAACCUCAAAAUCGCAGUCGAAACUAUUAGACUAGAGUAUAGUAGGGGUAAAGGGAAUUUCCAGUGGAGCGGUGAAAUGCGUAGAGAUUGGAAAGAACACCGAUGGCGAAGGCACUUUACUGGGCUAUUACUAACACUCAGAGACGAAAGCUAGGGUAGCAAAUGGGAUUAGAUACCCUGGUAGUCCCCUGAAUUCCAGCACACU